rnacentral:rRNA from 1 species
GGGGCAACACGAGUAGCAAUACUUGGUGGCGACCGGCGCAAGGGUGCGUAACGCGUGAGCAACAUGCCCGUAUCAGGGGGAUAAUCCAGGGAAACUUGGUCUAAUACCCCAUAAUAAUUAUUAGAGGCCUCUUUAAUAAUUUAAAGCUAAGGUGGAUACGGGAUUGGCUCGCGUGACAUUAGCCAGAUGGUAAGGUAACGGCUUACCAUAGCUAUGAUGUCUAGGGGUUCUGAGAGGAAGGUCCCCCACACUGGAACUGAGACACGGUCCAGACUCCUACGGGAGGCAGCAGUGAGGAAUAUUGGACAAUGGAUGGAAAUCUGAUCCAGCCAUGCCGCGUGCAGGAAGACGGUCCUAUGGAUUGUAAACUGCUUUUGUAUGGGAGCAAUAAGGUCCACGCGUGGAUUGAUGAGAGUACCAUACGAAUAAGCAUCGGCUAACUCCGUG